GGGGUUGUGGCUCAGUGGCAGAGCGCUUGCCUAGCAUGUGAGAGGCACUGGGUUCGAUUCUCAGCACCACA
rnacentral:tRNA from 1 species